rnacentral:tRNA from 1 species
GCUCGGGUUCCCGGCCGGACCGGCCGUCCCGUUCGGGGCGGGGCUCGUGGCGGGUCCGGCCGUCCCGUUCGGGUCCGGCCCGGGUG